GACGAACGCUGGCGGCGUGCUUAACACAUGCAAGUCGAACGGAAAGGCCCUGCUUUUGUGCGGUGCUCGGGUUGCGAACGGGGGAGUAACACUUGAGUAACCUGCCCUUGACUUUGGGUUAACUUCAUGAAACUUGGGCUAAUACCGGAUAGGAUCUCCUGCUGCAUGGUGGGGGUUCGUAAGUUUCGGCGGUUGGGGAUGGACUCGCGGCUUAUCAGCUUGUUGGUGGGGUAGUGGCUUACCAAGGCUUUGACGGAUAGCCGGCCUGAGUGGGUGACCGGCCACAUUGGGACUGAGAUACGCCCGAGACUCAUUCGGGAGGGAGGAGGGGGGAAUGUUGCACAGAGGGCGGAAGCAUGAUGGAGCAACGCCGGGUGCGGGAUGGAGGCAUGCGGGUUGUAAACCGCUUUCGCCUGUGACGAAGCGUGAGUGCGGGAAAUGGGUAAAGAAGCACCGGUAAACUACGU
rnacentral:rRNA from 1 species